GAAUUUUGGACAAUGGGGGGAAGCCUGCUGCACCAACGCCGUGUGCAGGAUGAAGGCCUUCGGGUUGUAAAUUGCCUUUUUACGGAACGAAACGCUGUGGGUUCAUACCCUCGAAUCCUGACGGUACCGUAAGAACAACCACCGGCUAACCACGUGCCGCCAGCCCCGGUAAUACGUAGGGGGCAGGCGUUAAGCGGAAUUACUGGGCGUAAGGCGUGCGCAGGCGGUGGUGUAAGACAGAGGUGAAAUCCCCGGGCUCAGCCUGGGAACUGCCUUUGUGACUGCAAGGGUAGAGUAGGGCAGAGGGGGGUGGAAGUCCGCGUGUAGCAGUGAAAGGCGUAGAUAUGCGGAGGAACACCGAUGGCGAAGGCAACCCCCUGGGCCUGUACUGAAGCUCAUGCACGAAAGCGUGGGGAGCAAACA
rnacentral:rRNA from 1 species